rnacentral:rRNA from 1 species
UACAGAGGGGGCAAGCGUUAUUCGGAAUUAUUGGGCGUAAAGAGCGUGUAGGCGGCCAGGUAGGUCAGCUGUGAAAACUCGAGGCUCAACCUCGAGACGUCGGUUGAAACCACCUGGCUAGAGUCCGGAAGAGGAGAGUGGAAUUCCUGGUGUAGCGGUGAAAUGCGCAGAUAUCAGGAAGAACACCCGUGGCGAAGGCGGCUCUCUGGGGCGGUACUGACGCUGAGACGCGAAAGCGUGGGGAGCGAACAGG